GACUUUGGGUUGGGAGAGAGUGGUGGCUGACUGGUAAAGCGCUUGGUUUUCUAGUCCGAUGAAUGAGAUUUUUAACUUGGAGAUUUGCAAAGCCCCCCUCCUCCUAGAGUCCACCCGACUCUAAUGGAUAUUUGUCAUACGUUUACAUUUAAUGUUAAUGGGAUAUAGUGUUGAAUAGCCGGACCUGUAACUUUCCUGGACAAUGUAGUGUGACACAUAUAGAUAACCAAAUAAGGAAGAGAUAUUGAUACUGCCGAUGAAAGCAUGAUGAUUGACAAAGCCACUUUUUAGUCUCACCUGGAAGGAUCCUAGUUUCAAUAGUGGCAAGAUAAGAUAACCAAUGAGGAAGUGCUACAAAGAGCAGGGUGCCAGGACAUCCGCUCUGUUAUCAGCAGCAGACACCUUGGCUGGCUUGGCCACGUUCGUAGAAUGCCAGUAGGUCGACUUCCACAGAACAUUCUGUAUGGC